UUAGUCAAGCUCUUGUAUGAUUUGGUAUGUAGAAGAGUACAUCUGAUCAUUCGGUUUUCUAUCGUCGAUCUGAUAAUGGUAUAGUUCUACUAGUUGUAUAUGUUGAUGAUAUUUUUUUUACUGGAAAUGAUGCAUCGGGUAUUUCGUCUCUCAAAACUUUCCUUCAGGGUCAGUUUUAUACGAAAGAUUUGAGCCAAUUGAAAUAUUUUUUGGGCAUUGAAGUGAUGAGAAGCAAAAAAGGAUAUGUGAAGACUGGAGAACAAUUGGGAGAUAUUUUGGCUAAAGCUUUAAAGAUGGAGCAAUGAUAAGCUAUCUGUGCAACAAGUUGGACAUGAUCGACAUAUUUGCUUUUGCUUGAGGGGAGUGUUAUGAUAUAUAGUUAUAACACAUGUCCUUUAUUGUAAUUGUACACAGUGUCUAGGGGUUAUUUUUCUUGUUGAAGAGAGCACUACUGGGUUGGGGAAUAUACACACCAGUUGGAGAGCUUUCAAUGCGAAGGACGAAAGCGUCGUCUAAUGGUGGAAUCUUAGAGUCAGAGAGAAUCUGUGCCUUUGGCAUUUCAAAUUCAGCUAAGAGUCCAUUCAAAAAGAUCAUAACAACCAUCUUCUCUCGUUGAGCUUGUUGAACUUUAACAACAUGACUAAAAGGUAACAACAAGCCAAGCUCGACAGUUAUCUUCUUAAGGCACUUAAAGUAGUUGGUAACAGACUUAGCUUUUUGUUCAGCACGAAAAAAUUUCAUACAAACCUCAAACAUUUUAUGUACUUGCUCUUUACUUGAAUAUAAAAAAUCUAAAAAUUCCAGAAGUUCUUGAACAGACUCACAAUGAUCAACCAAUCCAAUUAUCUCACUCUCAAUGGAGUUUUUGAUCUGAAGAUAUAAACGGGCAUCAUCACGAAGCCAAUAAUUUUUCUGCUUUGCAUCUUCUGGGAGAUCUUUGCUCAUAUGAUCAUCCAUAUUAGUACUUCUCAAAAUAGAACAAAAUUGUCCGACGCCAGUCGUAAUAAUUAGAUUAAUUUAACUUGAUGUUUUGUAAUCUUAGAGGCUAAGGGAAUAAUGUUGGAGAUUAUCAAAUUUUUUUAUGUCAGCAAAAUUGAAGUCACACAUUGAUUGUAGUCUACACAAUCAAAGAAAAAAUCAAUCCAAAUAGAUAGAAAAUUGGAAUAAAACCCUAAAACAAUGGCGUAGCCUUCAGUUUUUGUCAAACCGAAUACUAUUUGAUAACAACACAGAUUGACCGAAAACAAAGUUUGAGACAAGCCCAGAAGACGGAGGUCAAAUCGGAGUCCUCACGCACUAGCGCGUGGAUGACGUGCAAAGAUAUUUCGACAGCGUGUGAAGCUCACGCGCGGUGUUUUCCGACGAUCGACGAAGGCAGUCUUGGGCUGAUGGAGGUGGCGCUUCUUAUGGUCUGGACGAUGUUGACAAACGAUCAGUGGAAGGUAACCUGAACUUAAGCCUAAUGGAGAAGGAAGCUAACGACCAUUCGAAAGCCUAACAACUCCAAUACCAUGUAAUCCAGAAUUCAAAGAAGUGUACUUAUUCAUUUGAAUCAAAGAAAAUUUACAUAUUUAUAUAGAGAACAAAAUAAACCCUAGACACUAUGUACAAUUACAAUAAGAGACAUAUGUUAUAACUAUAUAUCAUAACACAAUCCGUGGUGGCCACCUACCAAGGAAAUUUUCUAGAGUUUUCUUGACACCCAAAUGUUGUGUGGUCAGCUGGUUAGGCGAGUUGUAUAAAAAAACAUGUCUUAGAGGUCGGAUGAAUUAGGGGUGGGUUGUCUUAAACAAUGAAAUGCUGCUCUUUUGUUAAAGUGGUUUUGGCCGUUCUCCCUGCAAGAAAAUAGUAUGGGGAGGAGAGUUGUUGUUGCUAUGUAUGCCAUAUAGUCAAAUGGUUGGCUAAUUAAACGUGCUAAAAUUGUUGCCAAUGGAAGGCCUUGGAUAGAUCUUGAGAAAAUAAAAAUAGGUAAUUGUUCCUUGAUCUAGUAAAUUAGAAGUGUGCAGAUGGCACAAAAAUUCGAUUUUGAAAAGAUACAUGGACCUCACAUGCUCCUCUCCAUGUGAAAUACUCUGUUCUAUAUGCCUUUAUCUUCCAAAAUAGAGGCUUCAAUCUCAGACUGUUGGUAAGUUACUGUAAAUACUUGGUAUUUGGGGUCGAGGAGGCACUUUUUUUACUUUGAGAUUCUUAUAGGUGCUUAGUUCAUAGAGCAUAUUAAGGUUGGUAGGCUUGGAAGUAGUUUGGACUGACUUGUGGAAGUUGACCUCUUUGGCACUUUGAAUGCUAAAUCUGUUUUCCUUCAUUUGAUGCAGUCUCAUGCCAAUUCAAUGCCAAUUCAAUGUACUCGUUGACUAUAUAUGGGAGAUAAAGGUUCCCAUGAGUGUUUUACUUGGUCAUUGAUGAAGACAAAUUUAAUAUUAUAUCACUCAACACUCCUCCUCACUUGUGGGCUUGAUAUAUGAAGAAUGCCCAACAAAUUGAAAUCAAUUUUAAAUGGGGAUGAAAUAACGUUGCAAGGGUGUGCACAAGACCUUUGGGCCCUACUGCUCUGAUACCAUCUUAAAUCACUUAUUAACUCUAAAGCUUAAGCUAGUGAGCGUGAAGGAAAAUUUUAUUUUAUAUCAUUCAACACCUUGCAUCCAUGUCCUCUAAGUUCUUUAUUAUUUUCACGACCCUUAUUGACCAAUGGACAUUGUCAUUGUUGGGAGCAUGGAUUUUAAGGGCAAAGUAUGGAUUUUGGAAGCCUAUUGUGUAAUUAGAACUGUCCUUUUUCAGACUUGGAAGGAAAUAAAUCAAGACUUUUGGAUGUCUAAGUUGGUCGUUUACUUUAGGAACAAUGUAUUGUAUACUACAUCUUGAUGGUGUACAAACAACAAAAAGUUUUUUCUACUUACAACCUCAUUAUUUUGAAUGGUUCUGGAUUUGUUGGCUUAGUUGUUGUAUGUCAGGGGCUUUUUCAUCCCCUGAUCCUUUAGGCCGUCCUAUUUCUUUUGUAUAUAAUACAACCUUGUGCUUCUUACAAAAA